UCAGUUUGAAUUUGCUAGUUUUCACGCUUCUCCAAAUGUUGCAGUGAAAUUCUCAUCAGUUUAAAUGCAUUUAAACUGAUGAGAACUUCAUGGCAAUAUUUGGAGAAGCGUGAAAACUAGCAAAUUCAAACUGA